UAAGACAGAGGGUGCAAACGUUGCUCGGAAUCACUGGGCGUAAAGGGCGUGUAGGCGGGAAUGUAAGUCGGGCGUGAAAUCCCCAGGCUCAACCUGGGAACUGCACUCGAAACUGCGUUUCUUGAGUAUCGGAGAGGAAGGCGGAAUACCUGGUGUAGAGGUGAAAUUCGUAGAUAUCAGGUGGAACACCAGUGGCGAAGGCGGCUUUCUGGACGAUAACUGACGCUGAGACGCGAAAGCGUGGGGAGCAAACAGG
rnacentral:rRNA from 1 species